ACGGGUGAGUAACGCGUGGGAAUCUACCCAUCCCUACGGAAUAACGCAUGGAAACGUGUGCUAAUACCGUAUACGCCCUACGGGGGAAAGAUUUAUCGGGGAUGGAUGAGCCCGCGUUGGAUUAGCUAGUUGGUGGGGUAAAGGCCUACCAAGGCGACGAUCCAUAGCUGGUCUGAGAGGAUGAUCAGCCACAUUGGGACUGAGACACGGCCCAAACUCCUACGGGAGGCAGCAGUGGGGAAUAUUGGACAAUGGGCGCGAGCCUGAUCCAGCCAUGCCGCGUGAGUGAUGAAGGCCUUAGGGUUGUAAAGCUCUUUCACCGGAGAAGAUAAUGACGGUAUCCGGAGAAGAAGCCCCGGCUAACUUCGUGCCAGCAGCCGCGGUAAUACGAAGGGGGCUAGCGUUGUUCGGAAUUACUGGGCGUAAAGCGCACGUAGGCGGAUCGAUCAGUCAGGGGUGAAAUCCCAGAGCUCAACUCUGGAACUGCCUUUGAUACUGUCGAUCUGGAGUAUGGAAGAGGUGAGUGGAAUUCCGAGUGUAGAGGUGAAAUUCGUAGA
rnacentral:rRNA from 1 species